UAGAGUUUGAUCCUGGCUCAGGAUGAACGCUGGCGGCGUGCCUAACACAUGCAAGUCGAGCGAAGCAUUUAAUAUGAAGUUUUCGGAUGGAAUGUUAUCUGACUGAGCGGCGGACGGGUGAGUAACGCGUGGGUAACCUGCCUUAUACAGGGGGAUAACAGUUAGAAAUGACUGCUAAUACCGCAUAAGCGCACAGUACCGCAUGGUAGUGUGUGAAAAACUCCGGUGGUAUAAGAUGGACCCGCGUCUGAUUAGCCAGUUGGCGGGGUAACGGCCCACCAAAGCGACGAUCAGUAGCCGACCUGAGAGGGUGACCGGCCACAUUGGGACUGAGACACGGCCCAAACUCCUACGGGAGGCAGCAGUGGGGAAUAUUGCACAAUGGGGGAAACCCUGAUGCAGCGACGCCGCGUGAGCGAUGAAGUAUUUCGGUAUGUAAAGCUCUAUCAGCAGGGAAGAAGAUGACGGUACCUGACUAAGAAGCCCCGGCUAACUACGUGCCAGCAGCCGCGGUAAUACGUAGGGGGCAAGCGUUAUCCGGAUUUACUGGGUGUAAAGGGAGCGUAGACGGCGAUGCAAGCCAGAUGUGAAAGCCCGGGGCUCAACCCCGGGACUGCAUUUGGAACUGUGUGGCUGGAGUGUCGGAGAGGCAGGCGGAAUUCCUAGUGUAGCGGUGAAAUGCGUAGAUAUUAGGAGGAACACCAGUGGCGAAGGCGGCCUGCUGGACGAUGACUGACGUUGAGGCUCGAAAGCGUGGGGAGCAAACAGGAUUAGAUACCCUGGUAGUCCACGCCGUAAACGAUGACUGCUAGGUGUCGGGCGGCAAAGCCGUUCGGUGCCGCAGCAAACGCAAUAAGCAGUCCACCUGGGGAGUACGUUCGCAAGAAUGAAACUCAAAGGAAUUGAC
rnacentral:rRNA from 1 species